rnacentral:tRNA from 1 species
GGGGCUGUGGCUCAGUGGUAAAGCACUUUCCUAGCAUGUAUGAGACACUGGGUUCAAUCCUCAGCACCACG